rnacentral:piRNA from 1 species
UAGGAAAGAAACCUGCCGAUAUUCAAGC